GCAUUGUUGUAGAAUCCCACAAUAGGACGAAACGGCCGUCCAGUGC
rfam:Schistosoma margrebowiei strain Zambia genome assembly, scaffold: SMRZ_scaffold0004390